UCCUCCGUAAGGGAGCCGAUCCUCCGUAAGGGAGCCGAUCCUCCGUAAGGGAGCCGAUCCUCCGUAAGGUAGCCUCUCCUCCGUAAGGUAGCCUCUCCUCCGUUCCUCCGUAGGUAGCAGAUCCUCCGUAAGGGAGCCGAUCCUCCGUAAGGUAGCCUCUCCUCCGUUCCUCCGUAAGGGAGCCGAUCCUCCGUAAGGGAGCCGAUCCUCCGUAAGGGAGCCGAUCCUCCGUAAGGGAGCCGAUCCUCCGUAAGGGAGCCGAUCCUCCGUAAGGGAGCCGAUCC